rnacentral:rRNA from 1 species
CAGAGGGUGCGAGCGUUAAUCGGAUUUACUGGGCGUAAAGGGCGCGUAGGUGGUUAAUUAAGUGAGAUGUGAAAGCCCCGGACUUAACCUGGGAAGUGCAUUUUAUACUGGUUGACUGGAGUACGAGAGAGGGUGGUGGAAUUUCCGGUGUAGCGGUGAAAUGCGUAGAGAUCGGAAAGAACGUCGAUGGCGAAGGCAGCCACCUGGCUCGAUACUGACACUGAGGCGCGAAAGCGUGGGGAGCGAACAGGAUUAGAUACCCUGGUAGUCCACGCUGUAAACGAUGAUAACUAGAUGGGUGUAGGGGAACCUAUGCAUAUCGAAGCUAACGCGAUAAGUUAUCCGCCUGGGAAGUACGGCCGCAAGGUUG